rnacentral:rRNA from 1 species
GGUGUGGUUCAUGACUGGGGUGAAGUCGUAACAAGGUAGCCCUAGGGGAACCUGGGGCUGGAUCACCUCCUUAACGA